AUGCUGCCUCCAGCCGCCUCCCGGGUCGCUGCCCCGCGCGCUUCUCCGCAGCAGCAGUUUUCGUGGUUUUGGCUCGUCUCUCCCCAUCGUUCUUUCCUGCCCUUCCUGGUUCCUCGCUCCCAGAUCUGGGAUGUCCUGCCAGGCGAGCUCUGGGGACCCUCGCUGUACUCUGCAGAUGGGCCCCCGAGGUUUGUGUGGCAUCGUGUAGGCAGCCCUCCGGCCCUCCCCAGCCGCCCCGCCUCCUGCCCCCGUGCCACUCCUGGAGCGGAGGCCACCCUCGAGUCCCGCCCAGACCCCGUCCGGGGUGCCUUAUGCCCGUUCCGGGCUGCCGCCCUGCGCCCGUUGUCACCUGUUACCUCUCCCGUGGACCAGGCGCUGCGCGCAGCGGCCUGGCCGGCAGAGGGCCCCGUUGGUCCAGAAAUGUGGCACUGCCAGGGCGGGGAGAGGCAGACUGGGCGAGAAGCCCUGCAGGUGUAUCCUGUUCUCAAAGAAAAUAAAAUAUUUUCAUGGGAAACUUUCCCUUUGUGUUUUUCUCCCCGCGCCCACUUCUCCUGUUCCCUUCCCCUGGGUUGUCUCCCAGGGUCAGGUCCUUGUCUUCUCACCCUGGAGACCCCACCCCGAAGCCAGGGCUGUGGCUGUGAGUUCGGCCUGCCUGGGGCUCAGGCUGUGCAGAGGCUGGCACGCCCCUGCAUGCCAUCUGUGCAGCCUUUGCCUCACCCUCUCGGGCAGAGGGAGGGUCAGAGGCUGGCUGUCUGGCUGCAGGUCCGCGGUGAGUCACGAUGGCCUGUCAGCCAGCUGUGCCUUUGCGCUGUCCAGGCGCUGCCGUGGGUCUGCUCACCAGGCUCCAGACACACCCUGGGCUCGUCUGCGCCACUCUGUGCUCUGUGCGGAGUCCCUGCUGCCCGCUUUUACUCUCCGGGAAGGUCGGAUCCACAGAGUGGUUUUCAGGGUCCUGGCUCCCAUCCUUCACCCCCGCCCCUGCAGCAUCUCUCUUUCUCCCUGUUUUCUCUGCGCUUUGUACCUCCUGGGAAGUCUCCUUGGCUCCCUUGA
rnacentral:lncRNA from 1 species